UGUUGAUUUGACUUUUGCCUCUGGGUUCUUGUUUCAAAAAUGUAGACAAUUUGCCAUGAGGACGAAUGGAGCCGGCAUGGAGAGGACCUGUGGAGCAGUUCUGGCCAAUAGCCCUGACGGAGGUCGCUGCUGGCACAAAGCUUCCUCUUCCAGACAGGGUUGAAGUAAAGACAAAUGAAUGUCUCCAUGGUGUAAUCACAGAGUCGAAAAAUCAGGUGACUUCAGUCUUCACAUUCCCUUUUAGCACAGUAAGUUUUUAUGUUUUUUUAUAUCUUGGCUGGUAGAUGAGUCAAUGUUUAAAUGGUCAUUCGUCAUUUACCAUAUAAAAGAAAAGCUAUUAUCUGAAACUCAUUUUUACAGUUACAGGCAAACAGAAAUAAUCAUUUUCAAGGACCUAAAGCUGUUUCUUGAAGAAUGUCAUCAUUUUAUCCUUAUUUUACUUACUAUUUACUUACAUAUGUGCCAGCUUUUGUGAGCUGCACGUUGCAAAAUCUGGCUGUAAAGAGUUUCCACCCGUUCCCUGCUGUAGCAAGCAAGGAGGGAAAAUUGGACUUUCUAGAAAUCAAAGUUAUCUUUCAGACAGGCUCAAAGAACAAGAAUGAAAGUAUAAAGUAGGCAUAGCAGUCAUAGCUACCAUCACGGGCCAAGUUGUAUUAAUGGUAGGUAGGUUGGUGAAUAUUGAAGUGUCUCAAGCAGGGGUUAUUGCACUUAUUCUCAAGGCAGUCCUAGUUUGUUCAGAUAUUUCAAGAACUAUCAUUUCAAAUAUGUAGCCCUAAUUGUCAUGAACAUUUUCUGCCAUUCCUAUUAAUGAAAUGAAAUCUGUUGGGAUAUAGAAAGGGAUAAUGGGACAAUGGUCUUCAUGAAAAUUGGUAAGUAAUUUGACAAGACAUGGAGUCUUUAAGAGAGAUAGCUUGGUGACAUAGAAAAAGAGAGAAAAAGCUCUAGAGUCACCUAGGACUGGAUAUAUAUAUUCCCUCUUCUGUUUGAUAACAAUGUGGGCACAAGUAAUUUAUGGAAACUCUCCUGGUCACAUUUUUCUUAUGAUCAUAAACAUGAGAAAUGAUAACAUCUAUAUCUUAGAGCAGUGUUGAUUGUUAAAAAAAAAAACACAUAUAAAAGGCCAAGUAAACCAGCAGGUUUGCUGUAAGAAUGCAAUUAAUGUUAAUAUACUCCUGCUUAAUCACUUCCAGAUUCAAUAAUUCUCUUCUUCUGGGUCAGAGACACCAUAGAUAUUCUCAGAAUAUAAUCCCAGAGUAAACGUAAUUCAGACCUACACCAAACCAA
rnacentral:lncRNA from 1 species